UGCCAGACUGUCUUUGGAACCAGGCUGCAGUUCCAUUUUCUCUUUCAGCCCCUGGAACAGAGCCAGGAAAUGAUAGAGUUGCCGGCACAGGGACAGUGGGGUGGGGAGGGGGAGCAAACGCUCCCUGCAUUCGCUGUCACAGUCAUCUCUGAAAGAGCACUUCACAGAUCAGAGUGCAAUUACUCCAUUAUUCCUCCACAGCCAGGAAAAGUCUCCCUCUCCACAGCUCCGUGGCAGUCGCUACAGAUUCUACUGCUAAUCACGUCUUCCAGAUGUUGCUUGGAAAGGAUCCGUUGCACAAAGCUUGCCCCUUGCAGCAGGGCUCAAGGUUGGCACCCUGCUCAUCCCGGUCCGAGCCUGUUUGGCUGUGGACAUAUGGCAGAUACUCAAAGCUAUGGGCUGGUCAGAGAAGAGCUGAAUUAUGGGAAAGGUCAGUAUACUGAAAAUGUGUCAGAUCAACCCCAUCAGCGCCUGCUGUUGGAAAGGCACCGGGCCAGGUGCUGGGGAUACAGCAAGGAUGUAUCAGGUCCUACUCUGAGGAAGCUCAGAAUUCAGUCAGAAGUGCAAGAUACAAGCACCUAAUCAGUCAAAGGGCAAUGGAGAUUAUUUAAAUUGAAGCAAGCAUCAGGCCUGCACAGUGGCCCC
rnacentral:lncRNA from 1 species